rnacentral:rRNA from 1 species
GAACUUAGCAGAGAUUGCUUUGGUGCCUUCGGGAACUCUGAGACAGGUGCUGCAUGGCUGUCGUCAGCUCGUGUUGUGAAAUGUUGGGUUAAGUCCCGNAACGAGCGCAACCCUUUAUCCUUUGUUGCCAGCGGUUCGGCCGGGAACUCAAAGGAGACUGCCGGUGAUAAACCGGAGGAAGGUGGGGAUGACGUCAAGUCAUCAUGGCCCUUACGGCCAGGGCUACACACGUGCUACAAUGGCGCAUACAAAGAGAAGCGACCUCGCGAGAGCAAGCGGACCUCAUAAAGUGCGUCGUAGUCCGGAUUGGAGUCUGCAACUCGACUCCAUGAAGUCGAAAUCGCUAGUAAUCGUAGAUCAGAAUGCUACGGUGAAUACGUUCCCGGGCCUUGUACACACCGCCCGUCACACCAUGGGAGUGGGUUGCAAAAGAAGUAGGUAGCUUAACCUUCGGGAGGGCGCUUACCACUUUGUGAUUCAUGACUGGGGUGAAGUCGUAACAAGGUAGGCGUAGCGAG